rnacentral:tRNA from 1 species
UGUCUCAGAUGGUAGAGAAUCUGCCUGCAAUGCAGGAAACCCAGGUUCAGUCCCUGG